rnacentral:rRNA from 1 species
UACGUAGGGUGCGAGCGUUGUUCGGAAUUAUUGGGCGUAAAGGGCGCGUAGGCGGUUUGACAAGUCUGAUGUGAAAUCUCUGGGCUCAACCCAGAGUCUGCAUUAGAAACUGUCGGGCUUGAGUAUGGGAGAGGUGAGUGGAAUUUCCGGUGUAGCGGUGAAAUGCGUAGAUAUCGGAAGGAACACCCGUGGCGAAGGCGGCCAACUGGGCCGGACCUGACGCUGAGGCGCGAAGGCGUGGGGAGCGAACGGG